UGUUUUUUUAAAGACAUCUCAUUAAAUUUCCUGUUUAAAGUUUAUGUUAGCAUGAAUUAUUUCUUGUUAGGUUUUUUAUUUGCUACGAUUAACUCACAUAAUGUUUCAGACUUUAGAAAACAUUACGGUUUAAGUUACAGCCAAUGCGGUUGUCCUUACAGAGUAAUCAGAUGUAUGGCCGCAUGUAAAAGCAUCGGCUAUCAAAUAUAUCGUUUAGAUAUUCAUUGUAAGUGCAAAUGUCAUGAAAUGAAAACGAGUACUAUUUUGCCAUUUUUUAAAUGGAGGACAAAUAGCACUACAUUUAAGUUACCGAAGUUGCACAGUCCGCGCCUUUACGACGUGGUCGGAACCUUGUCGCCCCAACCCACUACAUCUGGAACUCCAAAGUCUACACAACCCGAAUGUCCCACAUUACCAACAACAGUGAAAGUAGCUACAGAUAGUAGUAUAACUAAGAGUGCUUCAGAGGAGACUACAAAUGUAAUUGAUACAAACAAAGGUGUAACCGAUGGCACGUUGGAUAGUAAUACCAAUAAUACGGGUAGCGAAAGUAACAACACGAGUAACCCAGAAACCAAUACUAAUCCUACUUCAUUAUAAUGAACAUCAAUUAUAAAAUAAUAAAAGAUUUGUACGAUACAA